rnacentral:rRNA from 1 species
UACGGAGGGUGCAAGCGUUGUCCGGAUUUAUUGGGUUUAAAGGGCGCGUAGGCGGCCACCGCAAGUCGACUGUGAAAUCUCCGGGCUUAACCCGGAAAGGUCAGCCGAUACUGCGGGGCUAGAGUGCAGAAGGGGCAACUGGAAUUCUCGGUGUAGCGGUGAAAUGCGUAGAUAUCGAGAGGAACACCUGCGGCGAAGGCGGGUUGCUGGGCUGACACUGACGCUGAGGCGCGAAAGCUAGGGGAGCGAACGGG